AGCUGGAGGUCGGUCUAUCUCCAUCCCCGAGACCCCCUUCGACCAGGAAAAGCUACUCUACCCGGGCGCCAGGUUCAACACGCUGGCCUCCAUUUGCAACACCCCAUACCCCAGCGCAUCCUAAGCCCACCUUGCCCUCACCCUCUUGGGCAAGAGGCUCUGCCAGGACUGGCUAGUUAGCAUGGGCAUAACAGGCUAGCAUAAAAUACACAGGACUAUGGAGAUCAAUGACCAAUACAAAGACCAAGAUGGAACUCAGUGCUGGAAGGAAAAUAAAUGCAAUUUACCAAUGGAUCUUACAUGGGCAGUAGCUAUGUACAGCUGUGCUGUAGGGAUCCUGGUUGUACAUAUCAGGCAUGCUACAUUCUACUCUACACUGGCCAGGGCCCACUUUGGCUGUAUUGACCAGCCAGCAAAAAACAAAAGGAUUUCUGCACUGAGAACAGACCAGGGAAGUGAGCAACAUGGAGUGGAAAAUACUUGAAUGUCAAUUACUUUUUAGCUUUGAUUUUACAAAUGCGAUGGCUGCAAUGAAAUAGUGUUAUAAUGGUGAAUGAGAGAGAAAGAGGUCAUUCUUUUAACAUACCACACCAUCUCUUACCCACAUACGUCAAGCCAAAAAUUGUCUAAUGAUGUUAUAUAUGAUGGUCAUGUUUAAGAUUAUUAUCAAUUAAACACUUGGGCUUUAA